AGAGUUUGAUCAUGGCUCAGGAUGAACGCUAGCGGCAGGCUUAAUACAUGCAAGUCGAGGGGUAACAGGUGUAGCAAUACAUGCUGACGACCGGCGCACGGGUGCGUAACGCGUAUGCAACCUACCUUUAACAGGGGAAUAGCCCCGAGAAAUCGGGAUUAAUACCCCAUAACAUUCAUCAUUCGCAUGUUUGAUGGAUUAAAGCUCCGACGGUUAAAGAUGGGCGUGCGUGGCAUUAGUUAGUUGGUGAGGUAACGGCUCACCAAGACAGCGAUGCCUAGGGGUUCUGAGAGGAUGAUCCCCCACACUGGUACUGAGACACGGACCAGACUCCUACGGGAGGCAGCAGUAAGGAAUAUUGGGCAAUGGACGCAAGUCUGACCCAGCCAUGCCGCGUGCAGGAUGACAGCCCUACGGGUUGUAAACUGCUUUUGUAUAGGAAGAAACUUUCGCACGUGUGCGGAACUGACGGUACUGUACGAAUAAGCAUCGGCUAACUCCGUGCCAGCAGCCGCGGUAAUACGGAGGAUGCAAGCGUUAUCCGGAUUUAUUGGGUUUAAAGGGUGCGUAGGCGGAGUAAUAAGUCAGUGGUGAAAUCCUACGGCUCAACUGUAGAACUGCCAUUGAUACUGUUAUUCUUGAGUAUAGUUGAAGUGGGCGGAAUGUAUCAUGUAGCGGUGAAAUGCAUAGAUAUGAUACAGAACUCCGAUAGCGAAGGCAGCUCACUAAACUAUAACUGACGCUCAUGCACGAAAGCGUGGGGAUCAAACAGGAUUAGAUACCCUAGUAGUCC
rnacentral:rRNA from 1 species